CACAUGCUUUCGGGGGGACACAUUAAAACUAUAGCAGUAAGAGUGCCUAUUCUUUGGAUUUCAGGGCAGCCUGAGACCUCGCACCGGAGUGUUUCCCCUGCGUUUCAGUGCUGAGAACCGACAAGCCUCAUAUCUGUUUUCUGGUUAUUGGGUGACCCCUGCUGGUCAGUAGGAGCUGUUACUGCCUUCUCUAACUUGGAUUUCUGCGUUUAAUUCCAGUUAUCAAACUGUGACUGCCACUUUCCACGAUUCAUCUCACCUUGAUUUAGUUGUGAUAACUUCCACUAAUACCUGUUGUGCAUUAAAUGUCAUCUUUAUU
rnacentral:lncRNA from 10 species